ensembl:lncRNA
GCGUGUUGGGAUUCUCUUCGGGUGCUAACGGCUGAAAAGGAGCUCCUGCCGGCGCCUGAAAACACCGCAGCACGCGGGGGCGCAGGGCCUGGGCAGGGCGGCGGGUGCGCAGGGGGCCCCGCCUCGCCCGGCCACACUCCGGAGCCCGAGCCACGCCAGCCCGGCCGCCCGCGAGACCCGCACCCGCCCGCCGGAGCGCGCCGGGGGGCCACGGCCUGCAGGGGUGGAAGGGGCGGCGGCGGCGGGAGCUGCGGGCCACGCACAGCGGCGGCGGCGGGAGCGGCCAGGCACGCACGGCGACGGCGGCGGCGGAGGGAGCGGGAGCCCGGGCCACGCACGGCCGCAGCGGCGGGCGCGGGAACGGCGGGAGCUGUGGCGGCCGCGGAUGGCCCAGAGCUGAUCUAUGCGGCGCCUGGAGGGGCUGUGUCUGCGGCGGCGGCGGCGGCGGCGGGGCCCUGCCCGCGAGCGGAGCGGGGACAAGAUGAAGUACCAGAAAUACCUGACGGUGCUGCAGAUGGCCAUCGGCGUCACCCCCUCCAACCGCGGCAGCCUCCUGCCGCUCAAGAGGAAGCUGUGGUGAGGCGGCCGCGCGGACGCGGAGCCCGGGCCGGGCGGGGCGCGGGCCGGGGCGGGGGCCGGAGCGGGAGCGGGAGCGGGGGCCGGGGCGGGAGCGGGAGCGGGGGCCGGGGCGGGCGUGUGGGGGGCGAGGCCGCGGCUGCCGGGCCCGACGGGGCGGGGGGCGCACGGGGGGCGCACGGGGCGCAGCAGCCAUGGCCGAGCCCGGGGCCGAGCGCCGCCUUGUGCCGCGCGCCGGCGGGCGGGUUCCGCCGAGACCCUCGCUGUGCGUGCGGCGCGGAGCGGCCGGGACCCCGGCACCCGCACACGGGCGUCGGCCUCCCGCCUCUGUCUGUCGUUUCUGCUCCAUUCCGAAGGCUUCUGACUCAGAAUUUCCAGUCAGGCUCUCGCGGAGACGGCAGAGAAUUCAUUAGUAUCACUGUGUGCGUUGUCAGUAAUUUUUCAAAAAUUCAUCGGCUGCUCGGUGCACAGGAGAGGACGAGCAAGGCAAGGGGAGUAAGUUCCGAGAUUAUUGCAUUGUCAGGGACUGUGUUCUAA